AGAGUUUGAUCCUGGCUCAGGAUGAACGCUGGCGGCGUGCCUAAUACAUGCAAGUCGAGCGAACAGAUGAGAAGCUUGCUUCUCUGAUGUUAGCGGCGGACGGGUGAGUAACACGUGGGUAACCUACCUAUAAGACUGGGAUAACUCCGGGAAACCGGGGCUAAUACCGGAUAAUAUAUUGAACCGCAUGGUUCAAUGUUGAAAGACGGUUUCGGCUGUCACUUAUAGAUGGACCCGCGCCGUAUUAGCUAGUUGGUAAGGUAACGGCUUACCAAGGCAACGAUACGUAGCCGACCUGAGAGGGUGAUCGGCCACACUGGAACUGAGACACGGUCCAGACUCCUACGGGAGGCAGCAGUAGGGAAUCUUCCGCAUUGGGCGAAAGCCUGACGGAGCAACGCCGCGUGAGUGAUGAAGGUCUUAGGAUCGUAAAACUCUGUUGUUAGGGAAGAACAAAUUUGUUAGUAACUGAACAAGUCUUGACGGUACCUAACCAGAAAGCCACGGCUAACUACGUGCCAGCAGCCGCGGUAAUACGUAGGUGGCAAGCGUUAUCCGGAAUUACUGGGCGUAAAGGGCGUGUAGGCGGCCAAGCAAGUCAGCUGUGAAACACCCCGGCUCAACCGUGAUUCUGCAGUUGAAACUGCGUGGGCUUGAGUGCGGGAGAGGAGGGGUGGAAUUUCCUGGUG
rnacentral:rRNA from 1 species